CUGCUCAGUAACACGUUGUCAACCUGCCCUUAGGUGGAGGAUACCCCUGGGAAACUGGGUAUAAAACUUCAUAGGCGAUAAUGGCUGGAAAGCCUCUUCGCCCAAACGCAAGGCCUAAGGAUGGGACUGCGGCGGAUUAGGUUGUUGUUAGGGUAAAUGCCUAACAAGCCCAUAAUCUGUACGGGUCGUGAGAGCGAUAGCCCGGAGAUGGUUUCUGAGACAUGAAACCAGGCCCUACGGGGCGCAGCAGGCGCGAAACCUUCACAAUGCACGAAAGUGUGAUGAGGGAAUCCUGAGUGGAUCCGCAUUUUGCGGAUUCUUUUGUUAAGUCUAGACAGCUUAGCGAAUAAGAGGUGGGUAAGACGGUUGCCAGCCGCCGCGGUAAUAACCGCGCCUCAAGAAGUUCUCGCUUUUAUUGGGCCUGAAGCGUCCGUAGCUGGUCUGAUGUGUCUCUGGUGAAAUCUCAUAGUAAACUGUGAGGCCUGCUGGAUAUACUAUCAGACUUGGAACCGGGAGAGGUCGAGGGUACGUCAUGGGUAAGGGUAAAAUCUUCUGAUCCAUGACGGACCACCUGUGGCGAACCUUUUUGGAAAAAAGUUUCAUCAAAAAUGAAAUCAAAAAGAACCAUAAAAGGCGCUCGACUGGAACGGAUUCGACAGUGAGGGACGAAAGCGUGGGGAGCGACCGGGAUUAGAUACCCCGUUAGUCCACGCUGUUAACGAUGCCCAUUUGGUGUUGCANUACCUUCGUGGUAUCGCAGUGCCGUANCGAAGGCGUUAAAUGGGCCNCCUGGGGAGUACGAUCGCAAGAUUGAAACUUAAGGGAAUUGGCGGGGGANCACUACCAGGGGUGGAGGCUGCGGUUCAAUUG
rnacentral:rRNA from 1 species